rnacentral:lncRNA from 1 species
CAUCAAUCUCUAGAAGAACCAAACCUCAGCACCAACCUGUUCAUCAUGAUGAUCAGAAUCCUCUGCCUGAGCGUCCUCGUGCUGCUUUUCUGCACAGACAUUGAAGCUAAAAAAGAAAAGACCGAAAAGACCGAAAAGUUCAAAAAGUUCAAGUGUUUCACUUGUACAGAGAAAUACUGCAAAAAACAACAGUAUUGUAGUGAAGGACAGGUCUGCAUGAGCGCCUCUGUUAUCGGUACUGUUUGCUUCUCUUCAUUUCCUUUGAUAGACAAACAGUGACCGGCUUGGCUUUGCAUGCUAAUCCACUUUAUACCUUACAGAAGUCACACAUGGACAUCAGAAUAAAUCCUACUACAGGUCCUGUACGUCACCUUCAUACUGUCCAAAGAGUGAAAAAGCAGAGACCUUGUCCAUCGGCUUGGGUUAUCAGGUGUUUGUGGCGAACGUUAAGUGCUGCAAGUCCCAUCUCUGCAACAAAAAACGUCAACCCCGUAAGACCUUUGAAACACAAUCAAACUAAUGCUGCUCCAUACUCUGUGGGUAGUUUACACUGGUGUGUUAUGCUGUUCUUUUCAGACCCUAAGAUACCAUCAGGAAAUGGGUUGACGUGCCUUUUCUGCAGCAACACUAAAAACCCAAAGGAAUGCAAAGUCAAGGAAUGCAUUGGAAAUCAAACUCACUGCGUGCAAGUAAUCAGAAAUGGAACUCAUCAGAGUGGGUGUGCAACUAAAAACUUCUGUCACCCCAACAAGAUACUUGGACGCUACAAGCCUGUUAAUGGCUUCGCUGGUGCCCUCAGUUUUCCAGCUGAGUGUGAGAAAGCAAAACCUGCACCUGAGCCAACAACUGCUGAACCAACAACUGCUGAACCAACAACUGCUGAACCAACAACUGCUGAACCAAAGUGUGUUCCAGUUGAAACCACUCCUGAACCAACCCUUCCACCCUGUGAUAGAAAGGGAUAACUACUCCCACCACGUAAAACCAGUUUCUUUGUCUUGCUGACAAAAUCAUUAAAAGGUUGAUUAAAGUCUGGGUGAAUCUUUAGUGGAUCCUACAUCAAACAUAGAGAUCUUAACAAACUUAUCAGACCACCACCCACUGUGAGCUUAAAUCACAGCAUUGGUAAAUAUCUUUGUUUCUGUCAUUUGGCUAAUCUCCUAAACAAAAAAAAUGGUUGGUGGUUGAAUACAUUUGUUAACCAACUCAUGUGAUGUUUUGCUUUUAGUGAUGUUAUUAGAUGAUGAAUUAAUGAAGAUCAAAGCUUCUUUCAAAGGAGCUUUGAUGACUUCUAACUUCUAAAUGUGACUCUUUUAGUAAAGGUAGCAGGGCUGAGUUUCUAAUGCUUUCUUAAAAUGCUUUCUGCAUGGGAACAAUCAUUAAAGAGGUGAAAUAAAACUAUCAGCAAAC